rnacentral:rRNA from 1 species
CAGCAGCCGCGGUAAAACGUAGGUGGCAAGCGUUGUCCGGAACUAUUGGGCGUAAAGGGCUCGCAGGCGGUUUCUUAAGUCUGAUAUGAAAGCCCCCGGCUCAACCGGGGAGGGUCAUUGGAAACUGGGAAACUUGAGUGCAGAAGAGGAGAGUGGAAUUCCACGUGUAGCGGUGAAAUGCGUAGAGAUGUGGAGGAACACCAGUGGCGAAGGCGACUCUCUGGUCUGUAACUGACGCUGAGGAGCGAAAGCGUGGGGAGCGAACAGGAUUAGAUACCCCCGUAGUCCCUGUCUCUUAUAC